rnacentral:misc_RNA from 1 species
GGUGAUACUGCACAAACGCAGCCACUGCCGCAAGCACAGCCAACCCCACAGCCACAACCACCUCAACCACAGUCUUCAAUGCCUGGAUCUCAGUACAGUUUUCCGGGCAAUUUGCCACCCUACGGAGGGUUUUCUGGAUUGGGUAGUAAUGGUUAUGGAUUGAAUUCCUCCUUGCCUGGUUCGAUUAGUGGUGCAGGUUAUGGUGGUCCAUAUGGGGUUUCACAGCAUGGGGUACCGAGUUCUGGUGAGUUUGGUGGAUUGAACAAUGCAGGGAAUUCGAUGUAUAGGAUGCCACCGAGUUCGGCUGGACUGGCUUCUGGAGUAUAUCCAGAUGGUGGGCCUUAUGGUUUAUCUCAGCAACCCCAGCCAUCACCAUUGCC